UGGGUGUCUCCUCUGGUUAAGCGUCCGACUUCGGCUCAGGUCCUGAUCUCGCGGUGCACAAGUUCGAGCCCCGCGUCGGGCUCUGGGCGGACAGCUCGGGGCCUGGAGCCCGCCUCGGAUUCUGUGUCUCCCCCUCUCUCAGGCCCUCCCCAUGCUCAUGCUCUGUCUCUCUCUCUCUGUCUCUCAAUAAUAAAUAAACGCUAGAAAUUGGAAACUGAGGCGCAGAAACUGAAGCAAUUAGCCCUGGUUGGGGGAACGGAAAGGUCACGCGCUGCAGCUCGAGACGAGAGUCAUGAGGUGCCGUGCAGAUGCUCCAUCCGUGGAGAGGUUCCGAACUGGAGCUUUGUGGGACUCCAGCCUUCUUCAGGGAGGAACAGGCAGAAGGAUGCUGGAGGAGACACCGCUUUCCCAUGGGACACCGUGUGCUAAGAGACUACGGAAGGACCCCCUGACAAGAGGUUUACAGAGCAGCCGUUGCUCAACUGGGGAAGCUGCUACGAGUGCGGGGUCUACAAGAGUGCACACAUCCGUCCCGCGAGAUGAUGCCCUCUGCCCGUGGGCUGGUCCUACAAGCAGACGCUUUGAGACGUUGGCUCUGCUUGGAUUUCCUUUUCUCCAUCCGAUAGCACUCACUUCUGCCACGGGAUAAUGUUUUCUAUUUAGGAAUCACAAUUGAAGAAGUGUUGAGCCACUUAGGCUUCCAGGAACUGUUGUUCGAAAACUUCAGAUGAAGGCGAAGCUACAAAGAGAAUCACAAGUGGGCUAAGUGUUUGCAGAGUAGAUGUCCGUAGCAGAUUGCUCGCGUCUGGGCAUUUAUGGACUUAUGCAAGGAUGAAUAGUCCCUUUUCGUUCACCCCACUCUUCCUUAGUCCCAUUGCUUAGGUCAGUAACGGACGAUGUAAUUGGGGAGCAGCCUAGAGACUAAAUCUACUCUUACCAUAUGUUCUGCAUGGCUCUAAAACACUAAGAGGUUUUAAUCACAGUAUAACCUAGUGGUAACUGGUUAUACGAGACCCACACAGUGGGGUCUUGGUAUAGAUUGGCUCUGUGAUGAACGCGAGCAGACCAACACAGUACAAGAGACCAGAAGAAGGAGGCCAGGCUGCUGGACACACGGAAGGAGGGUCUCCUUUCUCUGGAGGGUGACCCAGUGAGAUAUAAGACUCCUUCGGUAUUAAUAGUCUGUAGGUAUGCAUGACAGAGAAUGUCCUAGAUCUUCAUCACCUAAAAAAAGAAGAUAAGCCGUCAUUUCCAUGGAGUUCUGGACUGUGUUAGCGUUAAAGCAUCCCACAAAUGUCAGUCAGUGUUAUGCAGAUUGGGUACCUACCCAUCUGCGUUCCUCUGCUAAUGCCUAGUGAAGAUCCUAACUCACUUCUAAGAGGCUUGUGUACCCACAAGGCUCUGGACAUUAAAUAUAUAAUAGUGGGUUGGCUGUGAUUCAUUCCCAUGACGAUCCUUUUAAUUUGUCGGCCAAGAUCUAUGUGUGGAAUGGGGAUAAUGUUUCAGAAAGAGCCUUAUGCUGAUGCAGGCUCGGCAUGAAGGAAGGCAGGUGCUUGUUUCUGGCAGUUGUAGGAGGCACGAAUCCAGAAUGGAUUUGCAUCUUAUCUUUGUGUGUAUCAUUUAAUAUUUAUUGAGACCUUCCUAGGUUC
rnacentral:lncRNA from 1 species